GAUGAACGCUGGCGGUAUGCUUAACACAUGCAAGUCGAACGGACUCUUCGGAGUUAGUGGCGGAAGGGGGAGUAACGCGUGAGAAUCUGGCUUUGGGUUCGGGACAACCACUGGAAACGGUGGCUAAUACCGGAUGUGCCGAGAGGUAAAAGAGAACUUGCCUGAAGAUGAGCUCGCGUCUGAUUAGCUAGUUGGUGAGGUAAAGGCUCACCAAGGCAGCGAUCAGUAGCUGGUCUGAGAGGAUGACCAGCCACACUGGGACUGAGACACGGCCCAGACUCCUACGGGAGGCAGCAGUGGGGAAUUUUCCGCAAUGGGCGAAAGCCUGACGGAGCAAUACCGCGUGGGGGAAGAAGGCUCUUGGGUUGUAAACCUCUUUUCUUAGGGAAGAACAAAAUGACGGUACCUAAGGAAUCAGCAUCGGCUAACUCCGUG
rnacentral:rRNA from 1 species